rnacentral:rRNA from 1 species
UAUCCUGAGAGGUGAUGCGUAGCCGUAGCGGCGAAAUCCAUGAUCCUAUGCUGCCGAGAAAAGCCUCUAGCGAGCUGGUACAUGGCCCGUACCCCAAACCGACACAGGUGGUCAGGUAGAGAAUACUAAGGCGAUCGAGAGAACUGUGGUUAAGGAACUCGGCAAAAUGCCCCCGUAACUUCGGGAGAAGGGGGACCAGUCCUGGUGACGACAUUUACUGUCUGAGCUGGGGUUGGUCGCAGAGACCAGAGAGAAGCGACUGUUUACUAAAAACACAGGUCCGUGCGAAGUUAAGGCGAUGUAUACGGACUGACACCUCCCCGGUGCUGGAAGGUUAAGAGGACCGGUCAGCCACUUCGGUGGCGAAGCUGAGAAUUUAAGCCCCAGUAAACGGCGGUGGUAACUAUAACCAUCCUAAGGUAGCGAAAUUCCUUGUCGGGUAAGUUCCGACCUGCACGAAUGGCGUAACGACUUCUCUGCUGUCUCAACCACAGACUCGGCGAAAUUGCAGUACGAGUAAAGAUGCUCGUUACGCGCGGCAGGACGAAAAGACCCCGGGACCUUCACUAUAGCUUGGUAUUGGUGUUCGGUUCGGUUUGUGUAGGAUAGGUGGGAGACUGUGAAACUCGCACGCCAGUGUGGGUGGAGUCAUUGUUGAAAUACCACUCUGACCGUAUUGGACAUCUAACCUCGGACCAUGAUCUGGUUCAGGGACAGUGCCUGGUGGGUAGUUUAACUGGGGCGGUUGCCUCCCAAAAAGUAACGGAGGCGCCCAAAGGUUCCCUCAGCCUGGUUGGCAAUCAGGUGUUGAGUGUAAGUGCACAAGGGAGCUUGACUGUGAGACGUACAUGUCGAGCAGGGACGAAAGUCGGGACUAGUGAUCCGGCACCGGCAAGUGGAAGCGGUGUCGCUCAACGGAUAAAAGGUACCCCGGGGAUAACAGGCUGAUCUUCCCCAAGAGUCCAUAUCGACGGGAUGGUUUGGCACCUCGAUGUCGGCUCGUCGCAUCCUGGGGCUGGAGUAGGUCCCAAGGGUUGGGCUGUUCGCCCAUUAAAGCGGCACGCGAGCUGGGUUUAGAACGUCGUGAGACAGUUCGGUCUCUAUCCGCCGCGCGCGUAAGAAACUUGAGGAAACCUGUCCCUAGUACGAGAGGACCGGGACGGACGAACCUCUGGUGUGCCAGUUGUUCCACCAGGAGCACCGCUGGUUAGCUACGUUCGGAAGGGAUAACCGCUGAAAGCAUCUAAGCGGGAAGCCUGUUCCAAGAUGAGGUUUCUCACCACCUAGCGUGGUUAAGGCCCCCCACAGACCAUGGGGUUGAUAGGCCAGAGCUGUAAGCACAGCAAUGUGUUCAGGUGACUGGUACUAAUCGGCCGAGGACUUACC